rnacentral:rRNA from 1 species
GGGGAGCGUUCUGUAAGCCUGCGAAGGUGGCCUGUGAGGGUUGCUGGAGGUAUCAGAAGUGCGAAUGCUGACAUAAGUAACGAUAAAGCGGGUGAAAAGCCCGCUCGCCGGAAGACCAAGGGUUCCUGUCCAACGUUAAUCGGGGCAGGGUGAGUCGACCCCUAAGGCGAGGCCGAAAGGCGUAGUCGAUGGGAAACGGGUUAAUAUUCCCGUACUUGGUGUUACUGCGAAGGGGGGACGGAGAAGGCUAUGUUGGCCGGGCGACGGUUGUCCCGGUUUAAGCGUGUAGGCUGGUUUUCCAGGCAAAUCCGGAAAAUCAAGGCUGAGGCGUGAUGACGAGGCACUACGGUGCUGAAGCAACAAAUGCCCUGCUUCCAGGAAAAGCCUCUAAGCAUCAGGUAACAUCAA